AGUAUUUCCGGGUUAUUCCCCUGAAUGCUUUUUGGAGAGUGAUGGGUGCUUCAGCUAUGCGUUUGAAAAUGUUUGGAUGUAAACAAACAUUAUAUGAUGGCGACAAUAUACUCUUAAAAAAGAAGAGAAAUUAAAAGAUGAUUGCUGAAUGCGAAGUGCGUCAUUCUUCACUACACGAGGUUCGAGGCAUCAACGGAGGGGGACAUCAACCAGCCCACAACCCACACCAAGGAACACAGACGCUCUACCUCCUGUAGCUAUAUUAGACCUGUGAUGAUGAUGUUCCAUAAUUAAGAAGAACCUGAGUGCAGUAUCUGAUAGCACUGUAACCCCGGAGGCGAGACAGACAUUCUCACCAGUGAGACAAUGAUGUGCACAAAAAAGAAAAGGCCAAAUCUGUAAAGUCUAAAUGUAAAAAAAAUCCCAAAGUAAAUGUUUGAUACAAUAAAAUGCUCUUCCCAUGUCGUAUUACAAGUUACAUUUUAGCUAAAAUUACUUUCUUAAAAUACCUUUCCAGACUGAAUGUUCUAUUGCACUGCUAUUGUUGUAGUUGACAUUUUUUUCAACAAUGCAUAAUACAAAAGAAGCAAUAACAGUAAGCAGUGACAAACAAUCCUAUAGCAUUACAAUACACACUUCUUUCAUUGCGUUUAGUAGGAGUUCUAGGGGGCAGAAUAAGGCAAAAUUAUAAAUCCAACCCAAGGCACCAAGGCAAUUUUAUACUUAUUCAUAAAACAACAAGAAAAGAAAUACAG